rnacentral:rRNA from 1 species
GACGAACCGUGCAAACGUUGUUCGGAAUCACUGGGCUUAAAGGGCGCGUAGGCGGGCAGGCAAGUCAGGGGUGAAGGCCCACGGCUCAACCGUGGAAGUGCCUUUGAUACUGCCUGUCUCGAGGGAGGUAGGGGCGUGCGGAACUUCCGGUGGAGCGGUGAAAUGCGUAGAUAUCGAGAGGAACACCUGCGGCGAAGGCGGGUUGCUGGGCUGACACUGACGCUGAGGCGCGAAAGCCAGGGGAGCGAACGGG